rnacentral:misc_RNA from 1 species
UGGUGCCCGCACCCCGCUGUAUACGCUUUCCUUCUCGCUCUCGCUCUCACUUUCUUAUGCUGUGACCCCCCUCUCCUCUCUUUUCCCGCAUUCGUUGUACGUUUUCUUGUUUCUUGUUUUCGUUCCUGUUUUAAGUCUCUCCGACUGUUCCAUCUUCCCUCCCGCGUGUCCGUCUGUACAUGUGUGAUCCGUUACGGAUGUGAGAUGGACGUGCUUCGGCGACGAUUAGCUCUCUAGUCGUCCCACCACACUCCCCUCCUCUUUCCCGCCCGCGUCUGCGUUGCGGAACACGCCACAAGGCCGACACACGCACAUACUCUGCCCUGUCGCUAACCGGACCCGUGUAGUCAUCACUACUGCCAAGCACCCCCGAAGAUACACCUCCUUUCGUUUCUUUGGCUUGAUCGUUAUCAGGACAGCCCCCUCCUCGCACGUCACCUUCGCCGACCGCCAUAAAGGACAGCGACUGGGCAAAACGUCCGCACCGCUAUACGCAAGCUAAAGUACGAAGAACGGACACUCAGACUACCCCCCCCCCCCGCUCCGCCAUGAUGCGCUCCAAGCUGGACGGCGUCACUUCUGGCGUCGCUGAGGCACACCAGUUGUCGCCGCUCGUCGCCCGCCAGCGCUACCUCACCGUCAACCGCAGCGGCGGCUCCUUCUGGUUUGUGCGCAAGGACGUGAUGCUGAAGAACUUGCAGGUGAGUCAGGACAGCACUCUCUGGCUGGACGUGGAGGGCGAGACGCCGGAGGAGCGCCGUGCCAUCCUGAAUGACCUUCCGUGGCGCGUGAACAUCCCGUCGGCGGUGCUGGAUGCUGUUGCGAGGCCGACGGAGAGUGACGUGGUGGAGCUACAGCCGAGCCUGGCGCAGUACGCUCACGGUGUGCUGAGCUGCGCCAUCAAUCCGCUGUACGACACCACCGAUGAGACCGCCGCGGUUGACGAGGACAACUUCAGCGGCGAGGCCUUCGACGCCGCUCGUGGCUUUGUCUGGUGCUCGGUGCUCAUCACGGACACGCUGAUCGUGACGAUGCACGACAAGAGGUUCCUCGGUCUGGAAGAGGUGGUGCGGGCCCUGGAAAUGCGCAUGAAUCCGAUGGACACGACCAGCCUCGGGAACAGCGUGCUCACGCCGAGCAUCGUCUUCGCCACGCUGGUCGCGUACUCCAGUGAGAUGAUGCUGCCGGACCCGACGACGCUACUGAGUGAGGUGGACUGCAUCGACGAGAUGGUGCUCCUCAUCGCGCCGGGCGUGCGUGACCAGCCGGACCUGCUGCGGCGUAUUGCCCUGCUGCGCCGCCGCAUCUCCUCCUUCCGUGGCCUGCUCUACAUGAAGGAGAAACUGCUGCGCGAGUUGGUGACGCCCUCCAUGCGCGGCAGCUUCGUCGCGUGUGACAUGGUGCACGUCAUGCCCGUCUACAAGGAGGCGCUGGACAAGAACACGAAGAUGGCGGACCGCCUCGACGACGCGCGUGACAUCUUGAAUCAGGCGAACCUGAACUUCGUGACGGGUGUGUCGAUGCGCAUGUCGCAGAGCUCGGCGAACAUGGACUUCAAGAUGCAGAUCCUCAGCCAGGUCGCCGUCAUCUGCCUGCCGCUAAAUCUCCUGGCCUCCAUCUUCGGCAUGAACUGCAAGGUGGCGUGGCAGGCCGAUGACUAUCCCGACCUGAGAGCCUUCUGGGGCAUUGUCGCUCUGAUGGUGGCGUGGGUGCUUGUUUGCAGCAUCCCGACGAUCCGCCAUAUCCUGCGCGGCAACGCCGCCAAGGCUAUUGUCCCGACGGACAGCUAAGCGGGCCGCGCACGGAGUGGGUGGGUGCGCCUGCAUGUGCUUACAUGGACCGUGCCGCUAGUGGUGGCCGCCUUGCCGUUCAAGUGUAGUGCCUUCUGACUUAAUUUCUUAGCACGCGUGUGCGUGCCAACCUU